rnacentral:miRNA from 1 species
CACUGCAUCCCAAGUGAUCACC